rnacentral:rRNA from 1 species
UACGGGGGGGGCAAGCGUUGUUCGGAAUUACUGGGCGUAAAGGGCUCGUAGGUGGCCAACUAAGUCAGACGUGAAAUCCCUCGGCUUAACCGGGGAACUGCGUCUGAUACUGGAUGGCUUGAGUUCGGGAGAGGGAUGCGGAAUUCCAGGUGUAGCGGUGAAAUGCGUAGAUAUCUGGAGGACCACCGGUGGCGAAGGCGGCAUCCUGGACCGACACUGACGCUGAGUGCGCGAAAGCCAGGGGAGCAAACGGG